AACGAACGCUGGCGGCGUGCCUAACACAUGCAAGUCGAUCGAGAAAGGGGCUUCGGCUCCGAGUAAAGUGGCGCACGGGUGAGUAACACGUGGGUAACCUGCCUCUAAGAUUGGGAUAACUCGUCGAAAGAUGAGCUAAUACCGAAUAAGACCACAGUUCCCGCGGGAACAGGGGUCAAAGGUAGCCUCUGCUUGCAAGCUAUCACUUAGAGAUGGGCCUGCGCACCAUUAGCUAGUUGGUAGGGUAACGGCCUACCAAGGCAAAGAUGGUUAGCUGGUCUGAGAGGAUGAUCAGCCACACUGGAACUGAGACACGGUCCAGACUCCUACGGGAGGCAGCAGUGGGGAAUAUUGCGCAAUGGGCGAAAGCUUGACGCAGCAACGCCGCGUGAGUGAUGAAGGCCUUCGGGUCGUAAAGCUCUGUCGGGAGGAACGAAUGCUCCUGAGGUUAACAGCCUCGGGAGGUGACGGUACCUUCAAAGGAAGCACCGGCUAACUCUGUG
rnacentral:rRNA from 1 species